GUCAUCGUGGCGCAAUGGUAGCGCGCCAGACUUCUAGUAUUUUAAGAUACAUGUAAUCUGGAGGCUGCGGGUUCGAGCCCCGCCGUUGAUA